rnacentral:rRNA from 1 species
CAGCCGCCGCGGUAAUACGAAGGGGGCUAGCGUUGUUCGGAAUUACUGGGCGUAAAGCGCACGUAGGCGGACAUUUAAGUCAGGGGUGAAAUCCCGGGGCUCAACCCCGGAACUGCCUUUGAUACUGGGUGUCUAGAGUAUGGAAGAGGUGAGUGGAAUUCCGAGUGUAGAGGUGAAAUUCGUAGAUAUUCGGAGGAACACCAGUGGCGAAGGCGGCUCACUGGUCCAUUACUGACGCUGAGGUGCGAAAGCGUGGGGAGCAAACAGGAUUAGAUACCCGCGUAGUCCCUGUCUCUUAUAC